CCUACGGGAGGCAGCAGUAGGGAAUAUUGGACAAUGGGCGCAAGCCUGAUCCAGCCAUCCCGCGUGAAGGAUUAAGGCCCUCUGGGUUGUAAACUUCUUUUCUCUGGGAAUAAAAACCGGUAUUCAUACUGGCUUGAAGGUACCAGAGGAAUAAGCACCGGCUAACUCCGUGCCAGCAGCCGCGGUAAUACGGAGGGUGCAAGCGUUAUCCGGAUUCACUGGGUUUAAAGGGUGCGUAGGUGGCUUUGUAAGUCAGUGGUGAAAUGCCGCAGCUCAACUGCGGAACUGCCAUUGAUACUGCUUAGCUUGAAUCACGUCGAGGUGGAUGGAAUAAUACAUGUAGCGGUGAAAUGCUUAGAUAUGUAUUAGAACACCGAUUGCGAAGGCAGUUCACUAGGCGUGUAUUGACACUGAGGCACGAAAGCGUGGGGAUCAAACAGGAUUAGAUACCCUGGUAGUCCACGCCCUAAACGAUGUAAACUCGACAUUAGCGAUAUACUGUUAGUGUCCAAGCGAAAGCGUUAAGUUUACCACCUGGAAGUACGAACCGCAGUUGAAACUCAAAGGAAUUGNGNGNGNGNGNGCGAGNGACGAGAGGAGNGG
rnacentral:rRNA from 1 species